UACAGAGGUGGCAAGCGUUGUUCGGAAUUACUGGGCGUAAAGGGCGCGUAGGCGGCCUUCUAAGUCGGACGUGAAAGCCCCAGGCUUAACCUGGGAACUGCGUCCGAUACUGGAAGGCUUGGAUUCGGGAGAGGGAUGUGGAAUUCCAGGUGUAGCGGUGAAAUGCGUAGAUAUCUGGAGGAACACCGGUGGCGAAGGCGGCAUCCGGGACCGACAUCGACGCUGAGGCGCGAAAGCUAGGGGAGCAAACAGG
rnacentral:rRNA from 1 species